UGAGGUAAAGGCUCACCAAGGCGACGAUCUUUAGCUGGUCUGAGAGGACGAUCAGCCACAUGGGACUGAGACACGGCCCAGACUCUACGGGAGGCAGCAGUGGGGAAUAUUGGACAAUGGGCGCAAGCCUGAUCCAGCCAUACCGCGUGUGUGAAGAAGGCUUCGGGUUGUAAAGCACUUUAAGCAGGGAGAAAAAGUUAUAAGUUAAUACCUUAUAACCCUGAUGUUACCUGCAGAAUAAGCACCGGCUAAUUCCGUGCCAGCAGCCGCGGUAAUACGGAAGGUGCAAGCGUUAAUCGGAAUUACUGGGCGUAAAGCGCGCGUAGGUGGUUUGUUAAGUUGGAUGUGAAAGCCCUGGGCUCAACCUAGGAACUGCAUCCAAAACUAACUCACUAGAGUACGAUAGAGGGAGGUAGAAUUCAUAGUGUAGCGGUGGAAUGCGUAGAUAUUAUGAAGAAUACCAGUGGCGAAGGCGGCCUCCUGGAUCUGUACUGACACUGAGGUGCGAAAGCGUGGGUAGCGAACAGGAUUAGAUACCCUGGUAGUCCACGCCGUAAACGAUGACAACUAGCUGUUGGGAGACAAUGUCUUUCAGUGGCGCAGCUAACGUUUUAAGUUGUCCGCCUGGGGAGUACGGCCGCAAGGCUAAAACUCAAAUGAAUUGACGGGGACCCGCACAAGCGGUGGAGCAUGUGGUUUAAUUCGAUGCAACGCGAAAAACCUUACCUACUCUUGACAUACUUGGGAGCUCUUGUAAUGAGAGUGUGCCUUAUGGAACCAAGAUACAGGUGCUGCAUGGCUGUCGUCAGCUCGUGUCGUGAGAUGUUCCGUUAAGUCGGAUAACGAGCGCAACCCUUACCCUUAUUUGCCAGCGAUUCGGUCGGGAACUAUAAGGGGACUGCCGGUGAUAAACCGGAGGAAGGUGAGGACGACGUCAAGUCAUCAUGGCCCUUACGAGUAGGGCUACACACGUGCUACAAUGGGGAAUACAGACGGACGCUAAGCCGCGAGGUGGUGCUAAUCCUAGAAAGUUUCUCGUAGUCCGG
rnacentral:rRNA from 1 species